rnacentral:tRNA from 1 species
GGGGCUGUAACUCAGUGGCAGAGCGCUUGCUUGCCUAGCAUGUGUGAGGCCCAGGUUCAAUCCUCAGCCCCA